rnacentral:rRNA from 1 species
GAAAUCGCUGUGAAGAUGCAGUGUACCCGCGGCUAGACGGAAAGACCCCGUGAACCUUUACUACAGCUUGGCACUGAACAUUGAACCUACAUGUGUAGGAUAGGUGGGAGGCUAUGAAGACGUGACGCCAGUUGCGUUGGAGCCGUCCUUGAAAUACCACCCUUGUAUGUUUGAUGUUCUAACUUAGACCCGUUAUCCGGGUUGAGGACAGUGCCUGGUGGGUAGUUUGACUGGGGCGGUCUCCUCCCAAAGAGUAACGGAGGAGCACGAAGGUGGGCUAAUCACGGUUGGACAUCGUGAGGUUAGUGCAAUGGCAUAAGCCCGCUUAACUGCGAGAAUGACGGUUCGAGCAGGUGCGAA